GCCGCUCAUAAUUCUUCUUUUCUCCAAUCGUCUCUCUCGCAGUUUGCCAACAGUCAGAGCCUCGUGAAGGUUGAAGUGGAAGCAUGAAAGAAGCGAAAGCCAACUGUCAGUACCAGCAGCCGCAGCAGCACCAGAACGCCGGAUCAAUUGGGAGAUGUCUUGCAUUGGAUUCGACAAGGCAUGGCCCUUGUGUGCGGGCUACUUUGGGGUGUAAGUUGAUGACUACCCUGAACUAACACAUUUAUUGCUGCUAAUCGUCUUAAUUCAAUCAAGUAGAUUUUGGGCGCUUCACUCUUCACUGCAAGUAUGUUCUUCUUCCUUUUCCGUUUGGUAUUUAUUCAGGAUAUAGCUGUAAUCAACUUCAACAUUUCUGAUUUCUGAACUAUUUUCUUGGUUGCCACUGAGUUAUGUCUUUGACAAAAUUAAAUGAUAGUUUAUUUUAAGUUCUGGGUAAGUUGAGAUUGCUUGCUGUACGUGGUUGCUCUUAUGUGAUUGUUGAUGUUAUAGCCCACCCCAGGUUCAAAUUCUGGUUUCAUCAACAGGGUCUUUCGAUGGGUGUUUAUACUUUUGAAGGGGUUUUUGUCAAUUUGGUUUUGUAGAUGCAAGUAUUCUGAUGCAAUCAAAAAAGUUUUGAGGCAUUGCUCUUUUCAUUCUGGCAAUCAGUUUCUGGUUCUCUUGUUUUGUCCAAUCUUUAGUUUUUAUUGAAGACAUCAGUGCCAAAUUAUUAUUUUCUGUUAAUAUGUUCACACAUGAAAAAAAGGGCACAUUUUUCAUUUUGUUUGGUGGCAAAUUACUGAAAUUAGGCUUGAUACAAAUCGCACAUGCAUUUGCAGUAUUUCACUCGAAUGAGUUGAGUUGAUUCUACCGUUACAGACAAUUGUCUAUUUUGGUUUUGCUAUUUUCUGAUCUGUUGCCUCUCUCUCUUUCUCUCUCAAAAUAGAUGACAUCUCUUGGAGAAAGAGAACCCCAACAAUGAUACCCUUAUGAUUAUGGAUCUUGCUUUAGAACAGGUACUGUUUAGACUUCUCCCAAGUAGGCUGUAAUUUUAAACCGUUAGGUGUUUUUCUGAUUAAUUACUUUCAGUUUAAGAACUACCUACAGGUUUUUAUAUCGUGGAUUGUAAUUGGCUUGGAUUUCAGGAUAGUGAAAAUUUGUCUAUCCCUGACAAACACCCAAUGUUGAUUUCAAUGAUGGACCGGUCUGGUUAAGUUACUGUCUGCCUUUCACUGAGGUUUCUGUACAGUUCUGAGACCUCAGCAGUGCAAUUUAUAUUUUCUAGUCCUUUAAUAGUAUGAUCGAGUUUGUUUUUGUUGCUUAUCUGAUGUUGUUGGUGCUAUUGGUAGUUCCAAUAAUCUGACUGAGAUUUCCUAUCAAUAAAAGAAAUUUCCUUCAGAUUCAGCUCUAGUCUUCAUGUGGAUUGCCUCUCUUUACUUUAUUCUGCUUGAUAUAUAUAUAUUUUCCUUCUUAUUCUGGUGUUAAGUUUGCUUCCAUAGCUGAUAUUUAACUUCUAUAUUUCUUACUGCUUUAUCUAGGCAAAGCUAGCUUUGGACAGUCUUGAAGUUCCUGUUGGGUACACCAUUUGUAUAUCUUAUAAAUUUGUUGUGCGUUGCCUUUUAAUAUUCUAUGCACAUUUCGUUUUAAGUUCACCUCUUACCCCUUUUCUUUGUUCACAUAACUUUUGGAUUUAUCCUAUUAGUCAUAUAAUUCAAGAUCUAGGCAAAGCUGCUUGAUAUGUUUAUGGCUGAUUGAAUGAUGUUGUAUGAUAUCAUUACUUUUGUUGCGCCGCUUGAGAGAUGUAGGUCUGUGAAUAUUAUUCUCCAUAGAUAGCCCACAGAAAGUUGAUUUGGUAAGUCAAUCACCUAUAGCAUUAUAAUAUAGGUCUUCACUACACAUAUAUACGUACUACAUUUAAAAUUUUCAUCAAUGCUUUCCAUAAUUCUGAAUACGAUUUUUUUGGUACUAUGUGUAGCACACAAUUUUGCUUGACAUCAUACCUAUAGCAUCAUAACAUGUUUCGGGUACAUUUGUAAGUGUUGUACGUUAAAGCGUUCAUUUUCUAGAGGAGCUUGAAAUAUGGGAAAGAUCUAUACAAUCUGCAGAAUAGAACAGGAAAUGUAUGAGUUCAUGUUUAUAUGCAAUGCAUAUCUAUUUGUCUUGACUUAGUCCUUAGUGCACAUUUCAGUUUCAAACGGCAUUUGUUACUAAAUAAAAAGUCAUUGACAUGAAAACUGAGGAAUUGAAGCCAAUAUUUCUGUUGUUUUCAUUUGGAGAAUUCCAAUUCCUAACUGUCUAAGAAGAUUCAUCAAUUUCAUCUGAUUUGAGUUCUUUUGUAUGUGCAGGAUUUUUGAUAGAAAUAAUUUAACUGGCAGCUUCCCUUCCACACUUGGACUGGUGCAAAAUCUAGAGGCAGUGUGAGUAAAUUUUAAUCCUCAAGUGAAGCUAUACCAAGACUAUUAGAGAUAUGAUGGAAGGAAGUUAAGGAAGUCAAGGAACUGAAACCGAUCCACCCCGAUUCAGAAAUUCGGUGCAACCGAAAAUUUGGCCCAACCUAUUAAAAAUCUGGUGUUCGGUUUCACAAAUAGACUUUCCGAUUUUUUCGGUUUGAACUCGGUUUGGGCCUGAUAACUGACCCGGCCUGACUAUGCCCAGGCCUAGGGAAUUUUAGUCAAGAACUCUCAGUUUUGGACUUGCAUAUGAAUAAAUUUCGUGGCAGGAUCCCUUCAACAUUCCCGAAGGGAAACAUCUUGAGGAAUCUUGACCUUCAUUGAAAUCAGUUGGAAGGGACUCUGCCAGUCUCUAAUCAAUUGCAGAAAGAUGGAAGUUCUAGACUUGGGAGACAACAAGCUAAACGAUACUUUCCAGAAUUGGUUGGAGUCUCUUCCGGAGUUACAAGUUCUCAUCUUGAGAUCUAACAGACUGUGUGGUCCAAUUGGCAGUCCAGAAACAAGAUUCCCCUUCUAAAAACUGCGAAUCAUUGACCUCUCCCUCAAUCAGUUUGGUGUCCCUUUUCCAACAAAGUACUUUCAGAAAUUGGUGGCUAUGAAUUUGCAAGAUGAUGAGCUGAAGUACAUGGGAGAGUCCUAUUACCAAGACACAGUCACAGUGGUAAUGAAAGGCUUGUAUCUUGAGCUGGUCAAAAUAUAAACCAUGUUCACAACCAUUGAUUUUUCAAACAAUGUGUUCAGAGGAGACAUUCCCGGGGUGAUCCGCGAGCUCAAAUCAUUGAAGGGGCUUGACUUCUCUAAUAACACGCUUACAGUCCAAUUCCAACCACCUUAGUCAAGCUACUGAAUCUGGAAUGGCUCGACAUCUCCUCAAACAUGCUUUCUGGUGAGAUUCCAAGGCAACUAGCUGAUUUGACGUCGCUUGCGAAGUUAAACCUUUCAGGAAACCAGUUGGUUGGACCAAUACCUCGUGGAAAUUUGGGCUUGUGCGGAUAUCCACUGUCUAAGACAUGUAUCAACGAGGAAGCACGUUAACCACCUCAACCACCAUCGUUUCAGCAAGAUGGUGAUAUGAAUGGAUUUGAUUGGAAAAUAGUAUGGAUGGGUUAUGGAUGUGGAAUGGUAAUUGGAUUGGCUGUGGGAUAUAUUGUUCUUUCCAUUGGAAAAGUUGAUCGGCCGGUAAGGGUCAUGGGAAGAGAAAUAAGAAGCAGAAUGGUGAAAAGGGCCAAGGAGACUAGUGUUGGAACUUGGAACUAGAAAGUGGUGAUGGUCUGCUCCUUGUGGUUGGUGUUUUACAUUUGGGUCUUCUCUAAAUUUGCGUCCACCGGUCCACCCACAUAUCAUAUUCUAGCCCAUGCUACUAUGCUUGUUUCAUUUAGUAGUGUUUUUCUUAUUUUAGAGUUGUUUUUUGUCUCACUUUUCAGGGAGGGGUUUUGGUCAAUGUUCGCCUCUCUUGACUUGUAUUUUCUCUUUCUAUUUUCAAUAAAUAAAAGAAUGGAGGGACAUGUGGUGA